CCUACGGGAGGCAGCAGUGAGGAAUAUUGGUCAAUGGACGGAAGACUGAACCAGCCAUGCCGCGUGCAGGAAGACGGCUCUAUGAGUUGUAAACUGCUUUUGUACAAGGGUAAACCUGGUUACGUGUAUUCAGCUGAAAGUACUGUAUGAAUAAGGAUCGGCUAAUUCCGUGCCAGCAGCCGCGGUAAUACGGAGGAUCCAAGCGUUAUCCGGAUUUAUUGGGUUUAAAGGGUGCGUAGGCGGAAUGUUAAGCUAGAGGUGAAAUGGCCGGGCUUAACUAUGGAACUGCCGCUAAUACUGGUGUUCUAGAGAGUAGGUGCGGUAGGCGGAAUGUAUGGUGUAGCGGUGAAAUGCUUAGAGAUCAUACAGAACACCGAUUGCGAAGGCAGCUUACCAAUCUAUAUCUGACGUUGAGGCACGAAAGCGUGGGGAGCAAACAGGAUUAGAUACCCUAGUAGUC
rnacentral:rRNA from 1 species